CUACUGAGAAAGGAAGGUAGCCUGCGGCCCAGAAAUCAGAUUGUGGGUUUGUUGGACUCUCAGCAACGUAAACAGGGGAAUGGAUUUUUCCAAAACAGUAAAUUUAAAUGGCACUGUUUAAGCUUCCCCUGAUGUUGUUGGGUUGGCAGUUAAAGCAGAUGGUCCUGAGUGCUCCUGUAGAGACCUCACUGUUUAAAUAUGCCUUUGUGCCUCAUUUCAUCUCUUUCCAAAUGGAAUUUCCCUGCAGUCAUUGCCGAGGGAAUGACUCCGCCACAAAGGAUCCUCUUUCCCCCGGAGAAGAUUUGCAUGGUCUGGCAGCAAAGACAGAGUGCUGGAGCAGGACUCCGCAAUGUGGGCAACACAUGCUUCCUUAAUGCUGUCCUGCAAUGCCUGACAUACACCCCGCCGCUGGCCAACUAUCUGCUCUCCCGGGAGCACAGCCAGGCCUGUCGCCAACAAGGCUUCUGCAUGAUGUGCAUCAUGGAAGCGCAUGUUAACAAGGUCCUGCAUUCCUCAGUCAGUGCCAUCCUGCCUUUGGCUGUUCUCAGGGGUUUCAGACUCAUAGGAGAACAUUUUCAGCUUGGCAGGGAGGAAGAUGCCCAUGACUUCUUAUGCUGUACUGUCAAUGCCAUGCAGAGAGCUUGUCUGAGUGCAAGCAACGA